CUUCAAUGAACCCCAUUCUUCAGCUGGGCCACCCUCUGUUCUCUUAGUGAGCAUUACAAUGCUAAGGGGGUGAAACAAUUUGUGAGAAGUCUGUUUUCCUGAUUGGAGACCAAAAUGGAAAAAGAACGAUAUCCUUCUCUCAUUCUUCUACCAGCUUUUGUCCUUCACAAUAUGAGUGAUAACACUACUGGAAAGAACAUCAUCUAAUAGAUACAGGAUGCUCUCAUUACCUCUGUUAAAAGCAGAAGGAAGAGCCAACUAUUUUAGCUGAACUUGGAAAUAUGUUCUGACAUUUUCUUCUCAUCUGACUAAAAAGAAUGGAGAAAAUCUGUAAGGUGGAUAACCCAAUUGCAAUUUCUAACGGAAACGAGCUCUUAAUGAUCUUGUCUGGGAGGGUUAAGUAUUUUUCAUUAGCUUUUUCUUCUGAUGAUUUUGUUUGUUUUCUUUC
rnacentral:lncRNA from 1 species